rnacentral:rRNA from 1 species
UACGAGGGGUGCAAGCGUUGCUCGGAAUCAUUGGGCGUAAAGGGUAGGUAGGUGGUCUCAUUUGUCUGAGGUGAAAGCCUUGAGCUUAACUCAAGAAGUGCCUCGGAAACGGUGAGACUGGAGUCCUGGAGAGGGUCGUGGAAUUCCCGGUGUAGCGGUGAAAUGCGUAGAUAUCUGGAGGAACACCGGUGGCGAAGGCGACGUCCUGGACCGGCAUUGACGCUGAGGCGCGAAAGCCAGGGGAGCAAACGGG